UGAAAGCUUCUACAAGAUAGUUGAGCCGGACAUGAACCACCUUCACUUCUGGCAAAUGAGAUGAGCUGCAGCGAGUGAAGAUGAAGGCGAAAGGAAAUUCAUUGUUCCACUGAAGGAUCAGCUCAUCAUGACAUUAGUACGUCUGCGCCAUGGCCUAGACGGUGCGGACCUUGCUCGCAGGUAUGAAGUCUCAGAAGCCACGGUCUCACGAAUAUGGACUACUUGGAUAGACUUCCUCUACAACAGGUUAAUACAGAUCCCUAUAUGGAUGUCCUCAGACCUCUGUGACAAGUACCGCCCAGCAGUGUUUCAAGAGAAGGGCU